rfam:Brachypodium distachyon strain Bd21 chromosome 3, whole genome shotgun sequence.
AAUUUACUCCCUCCGAUCCUAAAUUCUUGUCUCAAAUUUGCCUAAAUAUGGAUGUAUCUAUUCUUAAAAGGAGUCUACAUACAUGUAAUAUUUCGACAACAAUUUAGGAUCGGAGGGAGUAUAAA